AUGAAGAGCAGGAGGCAGAACGGCCGCGGAGGAGCCGCCGCCGGCGCCAUGGCGCUGGACGGGAGCCACCACACCACAAGCAGCGGCUGCGGCGCCGGUGGGGUAGGAGGAGGAGGAGGUUGCAGCAAGAUGGAGCGCAAGGAGGUGGAGAAGAACCGGCGGCUGCACAUGAAGGGCCUCUGCCUCAAGCUCUCCUCCCUCCUCCCCGCCUCCUCCUCAGACCACCACCUCCGCCAUUAUUCCACUUCUUCCUCUUCCUCGCCGCCCUCCAGCAGCAAGGACGCGGCGACGCAGCUGGAUCAGCUGGACAGCGCGGCGGCCUACAUCAACCAGCUCCGGGGCCGCAUCGACGACCUCAAGCGCCGCAAGCAGGCCGCCCUCUCCGGCGGCUGCUCAUCCUCCGUCUCCGCCGGCGACUACAAGCCACAGACUACGGCGUCGCUGCCGGUGAUCGAGGUUAGGCACCAGGACGGGACUCUGGACGUGGCGCUGGCGAGCGAGGCCGGGCGGCCCUUCCGGUUGCACGAGGUGAUGGCGGUGCUUGAGCAGGAGGGCGCUGAGGUGAUCAGCGCCAGCUUCUCCGUGGUGGGCGACAAGAUCUUCUACACGGUCCACUCGCAGGCGCUCUGCCCCCGCAUCGGCCUCGACGCCGGCCGCGUCGCCCAGAGGCUGCGCGGCCUCGCCGCAGCCGCCACCGUCUCGUCCCUCCUGACAUGA
rnacentral:rRNA from 1 species